rnacentral:lncRNA from 1 species
AUGAGGUCUGAGAGUGAGAGACGCCCCUGGACGGUGACGUCUCUGGCAAGGACACGAACGCCUGACCACCCGGGAACGCAGAACGGCACCUGGAGCACCGUCCCGGGAUGUGGACAAGCGACCAAGUGUGGAGGAUUGGCCUUGGGCCGAGGAGGGCGCGGCGUGUCCAAGGAGCGGAGCUGUGCCACGGGGCUGCAGAGAGACUGGCGGUGUGCGCAGCAGCCAGCGGGCAAGAGGACGACGCUGGAGCCAUGGCGGCAGCACAGACAGGUUGCUGCAGGGGGUCGACUUUGUGCCUGUCAGCCAAAAGGACAAGGUAGGGCAGACUGGGUCCCAGCUACGUGGGUCAACACGGGUCAGCUGGAGCCAAGAGGUGGCUCCUUGUAUUGGACACUGUCCCACCCCUGGUGCUGUACAGGAUGUUUUAGACUGUUUUUAGGACUGCUUUUAUGUUUUUACUUCUUCAGCCUCUAAAGACUUGAACUUUUAGCGGUGUUUUGCUCCUCCAAAUAAAUGACUGGUUUAGUGUUAAGUGGUUCCCCUGCCUGUUCUUUGGACCAUGAGUCGCUUGCUUUCCCCCUUGUAUCCGGAACCUGCAGCCGUGGACGGGCUGCUGCGGGGUGACAUAUACAUACCUUUGGUAGCGUUUUAGUUUUGGGAAUUAAUGUCACUAAGUCUUUGAUUUACGAUUUUAACUGUUUGUUCUUUUUCAAAAUAAAUCUGUUCAUAACAUUUACUAAUACCAAGAAGGUACAGCAGGACCGUAGCACAUUUAUAAAGAUCAAAUUCUACAAACAUGUUCAGUCCUUGUUUUGUAUAAUGUUGACAUUAAGUCUCUAAAAAUCAUCAUGAAAGUUGGAAAAAAUUAUACUGACACAGAGAAAGUGAGACUUUUGAAAACACUGACAGAUGCACCCACAUUUCCUGCCUGCAUGGUUCUUAUGAGUCACUACAUGUUCAUUCCUGAUUCGUCAUGCCCCUGUCAGGUGUUCAUCUCAACAAAGCAACAGAUCCUUCCUCUUCAUUCAAACUCACAAAUGUUCAGCACAUCCUCACACCUCAGUCUGUUCCCUUAGGAAAGAGCUGAUUAAUCUGAGCUUCUACUGAAGUUCAGACUUUAAAAGUGAAAAGAUUUUUAAAAUGACAUUAAUUCCUUUGAGCAUUCCAACAAUAAACAGAGUAUCUAUUUAGCAUCUUACUUCCUCUUUUUCUUCAGUUUCCCAAAACCAAAUUUAUUUUCUCAUUGGGCUUAAACGUUUGGUGAAAAGUUGUGAACAUUGGUGACGUAGUUUUCUAAAGGUCUCAAAACAUUUUUGAGGGUUCCCAAUCCCUUAGCGGAACUGCAGUGCAUUGUUCUGUUAUUGAUGGAAUUUGAGCAAAUCAGAGAACAAAACUGAAUAAAUUUCCUUUUAAAACAUUCACAGAAUCAUCACAGAAGUAUGGAACACACCUGGUACUUCAGUAAGUGAUGUUUCUAUUAGUCGACUUGUUGGGGGGGGGGGGGGGGGGGGUAAUUUGCAAGGUAUAUUUAAUACACUGUAAACAAUGCGACAGUCGUGUAUGUUUUCUUGUAAGAAUUUAAUCACAAUUGCAUUAUGUGUCUCAGCCAUGCAAGAAUUCUUGCCAAAAUGAUGAUUAAACAGAGUAUUUGCUUUUUUCCUGAAUUUUUUUGUUUAAUACUUUUCAUCUACUUUGAGAAAUUAAAGAGAUAUUAGCUAGAAAUUUCCCCUGAAGUUGCUUUUUGUCGUUUUUCUGUCAUAAACAUUUUUUAAAUCAAGAAUUAAUAAAAAAACACAUUUGUGUCUUUUGCAGCUUCCCUAAAGUUUAUCAGAUGGGCAAGUGAUGAUUUAUGAUCAUGAUUUAACAUUAACAUAAACUGAAGUUUAUUUUGCAGCUUAAACUAAUAAAACUGCAUGGUGGCGCAGUGGUUAGCACUGUUGCCUCGCAGCACGAAGGUUGCAGGUUCGAAACUUGGCUGCGGCCUUUCCGCGUGGAGUUGCGUGUUCUCCCCAUGCAUGCGUGGGUUUCCUCCGGGUACUCCGGUUUGCCCCACAGAUCACAACAUGCCCUAUAGGUUAUAAAUUGUAAGUCGCUUUGGAUAAAAGCGUCUGCCAAACAAAUAAACAUAAAACUAAUGAAAGUACUGCAAGGUAAAUCUGAAAAGUGCAUGGCUCUCUUUUAUUUAAUUUCUAAGAAACUUUUAAGAGUCUAUUUUUAAAUUACUAUUUUCUUUUUUCUUUAUUCACUUUUUUUUUACUCUUAGCUGCAGUUUAACCCGAUUUCCCUCAACUUUAACAACUGUUUAAGUAACAAGUUUGAAGGAAAUUUAGAGAGCUACAAAGUAAUGAAGACUCAUCUCUUCUUCCAAACGUUUCCAUCUCUGAUCCUACGUUUUAUCUCAGAAUGCCUCAGGAUGAGCAUUUUGUUCACAGAGAAUGAGAAGUUCAGUUAUUCUAGUAGCAAGUGUGACAGCCUGCAUGAUGUCAGCAUGCCAACACCACCCGCACAAAUGUCUGUGCUUUUAUUAAACUUGUCAGAUGAGUUCCUUCUGUGCUUGAUGCCAUCUGUGGUGUGUCCUCCCUCUGCUUGAUGACCCUCAGAAACAUCGGUGCAAACUGCAAAUCAGUCAUCCCGCCAACAGUUCAUGAGCAAAUCAGUUUAACUCAGCUGUUGGCUAAUUUCUACAUUUUAUUGGUUAUUUCUCUAAAACUUCAAUUUUGAUACACUUUGAAGACUAACUCUUGUUGGGUUAACGGUUAUGUACGUCUGGAUCAUUUGUCAUAAAAUGUGCAUUUUUUUCUCUUUUGAAUUUAAGUAAAAUAAUAAGUAAGCCAUGAUUUUUAAACCCUUUUCCUUUCUGACACUAUUCUGACACAACAAGUCAGUGACUCAAUGCAGUCCGCUGGGUUUUCUUACACGGGAAACUUUUAACUAAUUGGAAUAAUGAACUGAACUCAAUGAAAUGAUUAGUUGGAGUGUUUACUUUGUGAAGUGCCUUGAGACGACUCAUCUUGUGAUUUGGCGUUACAUAAAUAAACAGAAUUGAAUUAAAUUUAAUUAUAAAACAUUCAACAACUUUCAAAAUAAAACACGUACAGAUUUCCAAUGACAAUAAAAAAAUGGUAUUCCCUGUGAUGCCUCCUUGUUGGAGGUCUAAAAAACGUAAAAAAAAUAAAAGCUAGAGAUCUUUUGGAUGCUGUUUUUAUUUAUUUAUUUGUUUGCUCUUGCUUGUUACUUCCUUGAAAUUGUGAACUCAUGCAUGAUCUUGCAUUUCUUCUGUGGUAUCGCAGGACCAGCUGUGUGGAAUGCACUCGUAGCCACUCCACAUCUGUAAAGCUCUCAGUAGGAAGGGAUGCACCACUGAUGUUCAGGUGAAAGUGCUUUUUCUAGAUCACGUUUCCGGUGGAAAGCCUGGGUAAGGAGGAGGACUGAUACGUAAACUGGCUUACAUUAUUGGGUUAUCACAACAAUUGGUAUUUAAAAAUGUUGUCUAUUUUAAUGGAAAAACUCUUCAGAUGAGAAGUGAAAGGUCAUCAUUUGAACAUAAGGAAUGACUGAAAACCUUUUUAGUUUAGAAGUUUAGAUCAUUUAAUAUAAGAACUUUACUGGGCAUGCUUUCCCAUCAUGUGUCCCAGUUUUUCACUUCCAUUACUUUUUAAACUUAGUUUUUGCAGGUUGCAUGUUACUUAAGGUAAGAAAUAAUAAUGAUUGUUGCUCUUUCCUCUGAUACCCUCUAAAUCUCAUAUUCUGGCUCCUCAAGAGUGAAUUUCACCUUUGCUGAAAAACACACAAACAUGGCGGUGGUACGAUCGAACCUCACACUGAUUUAUAUGGACUCUGGGAGGGUAUUUUUGGCCUGCACUCUGAUAAUUGAUGUUCCACUGUAAUGUAGAUUGGUCCCUCCAACAAAAUAUUGCUAAGCUCCACUGUUGAAGCAGAGCAUGUUUUCUUGGUGAAUGUUUGGCAUUGACACAAAGCAGAUUCGAGGUUUGUCAUUGGUAUCUCCAUACCGCACAUAAAAAAGCGUCUUGAAUAAAGUGAAAUGUGUUCGCUGUAUUUCUUGGGCCCAGUCCCUCAGAGCGGGCCAUUCUGAUCUAAAAUUCAUUCAGUAUUUUACAGUGGUGCUGCCAUAAAUCCCACACAAGCCCCCGUUGGGUUUUAGCAGUAGUAGGAUCAACUGUGACAUCCAUUUACAAGAUAGCAUGAAAGAUAAUAAAUUUGAACUGAAUUUGUCAUUGAAAAGACAAAAGAGGAAGCCUGGAGUCACAUUUCAUCUCUGCUGCUGCUAACUGCAGCAUCUUGGCUGAAAAGAUCAGUGAUAAAAAAUGCAAUCCAUCAACCAGCAGCUGAUGGCUUGUACUAGGCAUUUUCCUUAUUUUAAUGAUGUUUGUAUACAACUGUGCAGAAUCUGAUCUGUUCAAUGGGCAUGAUGGUAUCGUCAAAGUUGCUCUCAUUGUGUGUGUAAACAGAGAAUAAAGCACCCUGCAAACAGACAACGUCACAUGGACGUGCAGUAGGGGCUGCAUGACAUAAUUUUUUUAAAGUCGACAGUCAAGUAAUGAAAAUCGAGUCGACUUUGACUAGUCGCUGAUGACGUCAUACACCUGAAGCGGAGCGCGGGGGGGGGGGG